AACAAUGUCUCCAAUGUACCACCACCCACCGGAAAAGGCACACAGUGACUGACAAGGAACAUUUCACAUCUACGUCUGCUGUCCCUUGGAUCUGUUCACCCCAGAAGUCGUAAAAGUCAGACUAGAUUCUGUUAUCUGCGGAGGCUGGCCGGACCUGCCAUUCUGCACCUUUGCACCCAGACAUAAAAGGCAGGAGUCAAGGAUCACACACACUGGAGGCCUCGUAAACCUGCCGAAGUUUAUGAAAACAGCCUUUGUACCUCCUCUGGCACCACGUGGAAGAGGGAUUCCAGAUUUCUCAUGAACUGGAGUGGCUGGGUGAUGUAUCCCAUCGUGUGAGGUGACACACACCAGGUCUUGGAAUUGCCUGUAAGUGAAAUUCCCCCCAGUGUUCAGUAUUAAACCAUGGGCAGGCAAAG
rnacentral:lncRNA from 1 species